GGUGAACGCUGGCGGCGUGCCUAAUACAUGCAAGUCGAGCGAACGGACGAGAAGCUUGCUUCUCUGAUGUUAGCGGCGGACGGGUGAGUAACACGUGGAUAACCUACCUAUAAGACUGGGAUAACUUCGGGAAACCGGAGCUAAUACCGGAUAAUAUUUUGAACCGCAUGGUUCAAAAGUGAAAGACGGUCUUGCUGUCACUUAUAGAUGGAUCCGCGCUGCAUUAGCUAGUUGGUAAGGUAACGGCUUACCAAGGCAACGAUGCAUAGCCGACCUGAGAGGGUGAUCGGCCACACUGGAACUGAGACACGGUCCAGACUCCUACGGGAGGCAGCAGUAGGGAAUCUUCCGCAAUGGGCGAAAGCCUGACGGAGCAACGCCGCGUGAGUGAUGAAGGUCUUCGGAUCGUAAAACUCUGUUAUUAGGGAAGAACAUAUGUGUAAGUAACUGUGCACAUCUUGACGGUACCUAAUCAGAAAGCCACGGCUAACUACGUGCCAGCAGCCGCGGUAAUACGUAGGUGGCAAGCGUUAUCCGGAAUUAUUGGGCGUAAAGCGCGCGUAGGCGGUUUUUUAAGUCUGAUGUGAAAGCCCACGGCUCAACCGUGGAGGGUCAUUGGAAACUGGAAAACUUGAGUGCAGAAGAGGAAAGUGGAAUUCCAUGUGUAGCGGUGAAAUGCGCAGAGAUAUGGAGGAACACCAGUGGCGAAGGCGACUUUCUGGUCUGUAACUGACGCUGAUGUGCGAAAGCGUGGGGAUCAAACAGGAUUAGAUACCCUGGUAGUCCACGCCGUAAACGAUGAGUGCUAAGUGUUAGGGGGUUUCCGCCCCUUAGUGCUGCAGCUAACGCAUUAAGCACUCCGCCUGGGGAGUACGACCGCAAGGUUGAAACUCAAAGGAAUUGACGGGGACCCGCACAAGCGGUGGAGCAUGUGGUUUAAUUCGAAGCAACGCGAAGAACCUUACCAAAUCUUGACAUCCUUUGACAACUCUAGAGAUAGAGCCUUCCCCUUCGGGGGACAAAGUGACAGGUGGUGCAUGGUUGUCGUCAGCUCGUGUCGUGAGAUGUUGGGUUAAGUCCCGCAACGAGCGCAACCCUUAAGCUUAGUUGCCAUCAUUAAGUUGGGCACUCUAAGUUGACUGCCGGUGACUAACCGGAGGAAGGUGGGGAUGACGUCAAAUCAUCAUGCCCCUUAUGAUUUGGGCUACACACGUGCUACAAUGGACAAUACAAAGGGCAGCGAAACCGCGAGGUCAAGCAAAUCCCAUAAAGUUGUUCUCAGUUCGGAUUGUAGUCUGCAACUCGACUACAUGAAGCUGGAAUCGCUAGUAAUCGUAGAUCAGCAUGCUACGGUGAAUACGUUCCCGGGUCU
rnacentral:rRNA from 1 species